rnacentral:rRNA from 1 species
UAGGGAAUCUUCCGCAAUGGGCGAAAGCCUGACGGAGCAACGCCGCGUGAGUGAUGAAGGUCUUCGGAUUGUAAAACUCUGUUAUUAGGGAAGAACAAACGUGUAAGUAACUGUGCACGUCUUGACGGUACCUAAUCAGAAAGCCACGGCUAACUACGUGCCAGCAGCCGCGGUAAUACGUAGGUGGCAAGCGUUAUCCGGAAUUAUUGGGCGUAAAGCGCGCGUAGGCGGUUUUUUAAGUCUGAUGUGAAAGCUCACGGCUCAACCGUGGAGGGUCAUUGGAAACUGGAAAACUUGAGUGCAGAAGAGGAAAGUGGAAUUCCAUGUGUAGCGGUGAAAUGCGCAGAGAUAUGGAGGAACACCAGUGGCGAAGGCGACUUUCUGGUCUGUAACUGACGCUGAUGUGCGAAAGCGUGGGGAUCAAACA